rnacentral:rRNA from 1 species
UACGAAGGGAGCGAGCGUUGUUCGGAAUCACUGGGCUUAAAGCGUGCGUAGGCGGAUUGGUAAGUAAGAAGUGAAAGCCCAGGGCUUAACCCUGGAACUGCUUUUUAGACUGCCUGUCUGGAAUUCGGUAGAGGUUGGUGGAACUCCUAGUGUAGAGGUGAAAUUCGCAGAUAUUAGGAAGAACACCGGUGGCGAAGGCGACCAACUGGACCGAUAUUGACGCUGAGGCACGAAAGCGUGGGUAGCAAACAGG